UACGGAGGGUGCGAGCGUUAUUCGGAAUUAUUGGGUGUAAAGCGCGUGUAGGCGGCCUGGUAAGUCAGAUGUGAAAGUUCCGGGCUUAACCCGGAAAGUGCAUUUGAAACUGCCAGGCUUGAGUACGGGAGAGGAAGGUGGAAUUCUCAGUGUAGAGGUGAAAUUCGUAGAUACUGGGAGGAACACCGGUGGCGAAGGCGACCUUCUGGACCGAGACUGACGCUGAGACGCGAAAGCGUGGGGAGCAAACAGGAUUAGAUACCCUCGUA
rnacentral:rRNA from 1 species